GAAUUGCUAUUGUACACGGACCAGAGUCCAAUCUCAGUAUCUCACUUUGCUCGGCAUGGAAACAGGAUGAAGUGUGGUUCCUCCGUGGUGCAGCAUCUACUUAUAGGCAGCCUCAUUCCAGUGUCUGCUCAUUCCAAAUAAGAGGUCAAGCCAUUCAUGCCCAUGCAUGCAUGCACUUGGCAAAUAUAUAUAACUAUCGGUCCAGGGGAAGCUCCUACGCGGGGGCCUACGUCGGGAACAGGAAGAACCCGACAAUAUGUGAAUAUUCAUUCAUGUCGCCUGUGUGCGCCGCAUAGCAAAUUGGGAGUAUCUUAAUACUGCGCUCCGUGGGAGUAUCUUAAUACUGCACUCCAGACUCAAUCGCUCUUUCGUCGCAUAUGCUCCAUCGUCCUGGGUGUUGCUUCAUGGAGAGGAUAUCCUCAUUGGAAACUUGGGCUAUCCGUGCAGUGUCAGCUAAUUGGAGUAUCUUAAUCCUACGUUCCAUGCCGCCUACUUCUUUGUUCCUCUUAUGCAACUGGUGUUUGUUUAGGAGACACAACAAUAAUGAAAAUAUCUUAUUGAUACAACUUGUUUCUGACCAUUUUUUCCGCUGCUGUCCUGUCCAAUGGGUGAUCAUGGAGGCUGGAAUCCCGGGCGCGGCCUGGGGCUACUCGUCUAGUUAAAACCCUCUGGGCGCAGUAUCAGGGUCCCCCAAAAAGUUCAAUUUUGUCGGUUCCCACAGGACGGAGCCUCUCAUGUCCUGUCACCCGAUUUUCGCCCCGCCUACGCGUGCGUGCGGUGCAACUGGGACUUUCUUAGGCGCAGCGACGAAGAUGUUGUACGGGAAAUGGGAAUGAUGGAGGCAAGUGAUUUUCGCUGCUGGUGGUUCGGGUGCAGCCUGACCAGGAGGGGCUCAUGGAGACCUCUGGGGUGCUGCUGGAAGCUGCUGCUGAUCUGAAUGGAAGCCUUGCUUACUUAAUUGGUGCAGUUGCAGGCGCUGAAAAAGGCUAUUUUUGGCGCUUCUCGUAGGCUGCCAGGUUGUAUAUUUUUGUAGUAGCAGAGAGCUUAGCCACAGACGGUGGACGUGAAUGAGCCGAGUCGCUGCUUGGUUUUGGAUAAGACUCGUCUCUCUCCUUGUACACCCUUCAGUUUCUAAAUAUAAAUCUUUUGAAGGAUUUCAUUA